AAGCACCGGCUAACUACGUGCCAGCAGCCGCGGUAAUACGUAUGGUGCAAGCGUUGAUUCCGGAAUCAUUGGGCGUAAAGGGUGAUGUAGGCGGAUAUGUAAGUCAGAGUGAAAGACUACGAGCUCGUGAACUCGUAGCCUGUUUGAUACUGUGUAUCUAGCAUUUGGGAGAGAGUCGAAGGCGGAAUGUNCUGCGUGUAGCGGUGAAAUGCGUAUGAUAUCAUGGAGGAACACCGGUGGCGUAAGCACCUUACUGGCCUAUAAUUGACGCUGAGNCACGAAAGCGUGGGGANUGAACGGGAUUAGAUACCCCGGUAAUCCACGCCCUAAACG
rnacentral:rRNA from 1 species